ACUGGACUGAAGGAUACAAAGUAUUGAUCCUGGAUGUGUCUGUGAGGGUGUUGCCAAAAGAGAUUAACAUUUGAGUCAGUGGGCUGGGCAAGGCAGAUCCACCCUUAAUCUGGUGGGCACAAACUAAUCAGCUGCCAGAGAAUAUAAAGCAGGCAGAAAACCGUGUAAAGGAGAGACUGGCCUAGCCUCCCAGCCUGUAUCUUUCUCCCAUGCUGGAUGCUUCCUGCCCUUGAACAUCAGACCCCAAGUUCUUCAGUUUUGAUACUCAGACUGGUCCUCAUUGCUCCUCAAGCUUGUAGACAGCCUACUGUGGGACCUUGUGAUUGUGCAGGUUAAUAGCCUAAUAUAUAUAUAUAUAUACACACACACACACAUAUAUAUACGAAAAAUGCUAUCAGAUGAAGACAAGCUAAAACACCUUUUAAGUAUAAGGAAACAUACCUUUUCUUAAUUUUGAGAGUUUCAAUGGGAAAUUAUUAGGCAUCCACCUUAUAGACCUGAUUUGGCUCCUUCUUACUCCUUUAUGUUUCCUAAUUGAUAUAGAUUGGAUAUCUGUCCCCUCCAAAUCUCAUGUUGAAAUUUAUUCUCCAACAUUAGAGUUGGGGCCAAAUGGAAGGUGUGGUCAUGGGGGCAGAUCCCUCAUGAAUGGCUUGGUACAUCCCCACAGUAACGAAUAAGUUCUCGCUCUAUCAGUUCAUACAAAAGCUGGCUGUUUAAAAGAAUGUAGCACCUUCUCUCUUUCUCACUCCCUCUCUCGCUAUGUGAUAUGCCAGCUCUCCUUCCCCUUCUGCUAUAAUUGGAAGUUACCUGAAGCCCUCACCAGAAGCAGAUGCUAGUGCCAUGGUUCUUGCACACCCUGCAGAACUGUGAGCCAAAUAAAAUACCCAGCCUCAGGUAUUCUUCUAUAGGAACCCAAACAGACUAACACACCAGUCUUUAAAAAUCUGUAGAUGGCACCCAUUUUUCUUCAGUUACCAAUAUAAAAAACACUGCAUUUGCAUAGUUAAAAAAAUUGCUGCGCCACACCUUGGUUUCCUCUCCCAAAAAGUUUUUUCACUCUUU
rnacentral:lncRNA from 10 species